rnacentral:rRNA from 1 species
ACCUGCCUACGGGGCGCAGCAGUGGGGAAUAUUGGACAAUGGGGGAAACUCUGAUCCAGCGACGCCGCGUGAGUGAAGAAGUAUUUCGGUAUGUAAAGUUCUAUCAGCAGGGAAGAAAAUGACGGUACCUGACUAAGAAGCCCCGGCUAACUACGUGCCAGCAGCCGCGGUAAUACGUAGGGGGCAAGCGUUAUCCGGAUUUACUGGGUGUAAAGGGAGCGUAGACGGCAUAGCAAGUCUGAUGUGAAAGAUCGGGGCUCAACCCCGGGCCUGCAUUGGAAACUGUUACGCUGGAGUACAGGAGG